ensembl:lncRNA
UGAAAUUUUGUUUCUAAUACAAACAUCAACUUUUCACCCAGCAGUAAAGUUCUUUCUUUCACUUUCUUGCUAACUGGUUUCUGAUUAUAAAAACAAUGCAAGCUUCUAAUAGGAAAUUUGAAAAAUACAGCCAAGUAUGAAGAGAAAAAAAACACCUGUAUCCUAACUUGACCAGCAAUAAUUGCUUUGGAUAUUCUGGUUUACUUCCUUCAGUGUUCUUUAUUUUUCAAUGCACAUAGGUGUAAACACACACAUUUUGCAUACCUCCGAUCAUGCUUACCUAUAAAGUUUGUAUCCUACCUUUUAUUCUCACUGUUAGACAAAAAAAAAAAAAAUGUCCUACUAUAAUUAUUAUUUGAAAACAUCAGCAAGCCUAAGUCUUCAUACUUAUAAUGUGCUUAUUUCUCCCAUUCAUCUAAGCCCCAAUCUUCUGUGAGAGACCUACUUCUCAUUCACUCUAAACUUGACCUUGAGAUCACACUGAAGAAAAAGAAAAAAGGAGAAAAAAGUACUGAUAAUAAAAUCUCUUCAAUGAACUGAGGAAUAGGACACUCUGCAAACCCUGCCUUCCUCUCUGAAGAGAAUGCAAUCGAAGUCAAGAGAAGUGAAGAUGGUGUCGGAUUCUCUCUUCAGACCUUCAGGUAGGUCUUUAAGAUGUCAUACUACAUCUAGGCUCCUGGCUAUUGACCCUCAUCCCGAAAGCAAGAAAGGCUUUUUUCUUUUUUCUUUUCUUUCUUUCUCUUUCUUUCUUUCUUUCUUUUUUUCUUUGUUUGUACUUAUUUGUUUAUAUUUUGGGAAAUUUCAUAAAAUGUACAAGUCUAGGAGAAAGUCAAUGCAAAUGAAGAUGGUAAAAAAAAAAAAACAAUGCAAGAGAGAGUGGUUGUUUAAACAAGGUCAAAAAAAAAAAAAUGGCAGUUAUGGGAUCCUAGUCACAGGAAGUAGGCCAGCCUUGAAGAGGAGGAGGGAUACAUUUUCCUUUGAAACAGGAAAAAUCAGAAGAUGUUUAAAACUGCAAAUACAGUUUAGAUGAUGCACAAAAGCACAAAGAUAGCUUAAAAGGAAGCGGUUGAGAAAUUUCAUAAUAUAUAUGUAUAAUUUCUUUAAUUAAGAGAUGAUCAAUUAUGUCUUCUCACAAUUAAACCAUCAGGGAUGAGAAUAUAAACCUGGCAAAGCAAAAUCGAUUUGCAAGGUCAAGUGAGAUAAAUAUGCAAGAGAGUCAACUUGGAUGAGUAAGGGAUUAUUCAAGAACUAUGAAACACAAUUACAUUCAGAGAAAACCAGUAAUAGUGAGACCAACCAAUACGGUCAUAUGAUUCUCUCCAUAUUCAUUUUCCAGUAUGGAAACAGGAACAAAAUUGAGAUUGAAAACAAAGGGUUCUCUCCAUUAACGCUUGUAAAACAUUUUAAAUUAUCAUAGGAAAGAAAGUAAUGUCUUUAACUGAGUAUUUCACAUUUUGGAAAAGCACAGAAUGGACUGUUUGCUGGGCAGGAUUCUUUUAUUCAUUGUUUAAUUCAUCGUCUUUAAAAAAAAGAAUAAAACAACAUUUUCUUGCA